rnacentral:rRNA from 1 species
UACGUAGGGUGCAAGCGUUGUCCGGAAUUAUUGGGCGUAAAGAGCUCGUAGGCGGUCUGUCGCGUCGGCUGUGAAAUCCCGAGGCUCAACCUCGGGUCUGCAGUCGAUACGGGCAAACUAGAGUAUUGCAGGGGAGACUGGAAUUCCUGGUGUAGCGGUGAAAUGCGCAGAUAUCAGGAGGAACACCGGUGGCGAAGGCAGUGUUCUGGGCCAGUACUGACGCUGAGGAGCGAAAGCGUGGGGGAGCAAACAGG